AGAGUUUGAUCCUGGCUCAGAACGAACGCUGGCGGCAGGCCUAACACAUGCAAGUCGAACGAAGGCUUCGGCCUUAGUGGCGCACGGGUGAGUAACGCGUGGGAACGUGCCUUUUGGUUCGGGAUAACACCGGGAAACUGGUGCUAAUACCGGGUAAGCCCUCCGGGGGAAAGAUUUAUCGCCGAAAGAGCGGCCCGCGUCUGAUUAGGUAGUUGGUGGGGUAAUGGCCUACCAAGCCGACGAUCAGUAGCUGGUCUGAGAGGAUGAUCAGCCACACUGGGACUGAGACACGGCCCAGACUCCUACGGGAGGCAGCAGUGGGGAAUAUUGGACAAUGGGCGCAAGCCUGAUCCAGCCAUGCCGCGUGAGUGAUGAAGGCCUUAGGGUUGUAAAGCUCUUUCGCACGCGACGAUGAUGACGGUAGCGUGAGAAGAAGCCCCGGCUAACUUCGUGCCAGCAGCCGCGGUAAUACGAAGGGGGCUAGCGUUGUUCGGAAUUACUGGGCGUAAAGGGCGCGUAGGCGGCGUAUCAAGUCAGAUGUGAAAGCCCCGGGCUUAACCUGGGAACAGCAUUUGAGACUGGUAUGCUUGAGUGCCGGAGAGGUGGGUGGAAUUCCCAGUGUA
rnacentral:rRNA from 1 species